GCAUGGGUUUGGAUUUAUGAUAAGCCCACCACCCCCAGACCUCUCAUAGUGCCCCAUGCCAGAGAAAAUUGUGGCCUUGAACCAUUGCCUGGCCUCUGUACCCAUGGGCCACUGGCACUGAAGUGUGUUGCAGAGAG
ensembl:snoRNA small nucleolar RNA, H/ACA box 80D